GUGAGGAAUAUUGGACAAUGGGCGCAAGCCUGAUCCAGCCAUGCCGCGUGCAGGAAGACGCAUCUAUGGUGUGUAAACUGCUUUUGUACGGGAAGAAACACUCCCUCGUGAGGGAGCUUGACGGUACCGUAAGAAUAAGGAUCGGCUAACUCCGUGCCAGCAGCCGCGGUAAUACGGAGGAUCCAAGCGUGAUCCGGAAUCAUUGGGUUUAAAGGGUCCGUAGGCGGUUUAAUAAGUCAGUGGUGAAAGCCCAUCGCUCAACGAUGGAACGGCCAUUGAUACUGUUAGACUUGAAUUACAAGGAAGUAACUAGAAUAUGUAGUGUAGCGGUGAAAUGCUUAGAUAUUACAUGUAAUACCAAUUGCGAAGGCAGGUUACUACUUGUGGAUUGACGCUGAUGGACGAAAGCGUGGGGAGCGAACAGGAUUAGAAACCCCAGUAGUCC
rnacentral:rRNA from 1 species